rnacentral:rRNA from 1 species
GGGGGAAUUUUCCGCAAUGGGCGAAAGCCUGACGGAGCAACGCCGCGUGGGGGAAGAAGGCCUUUGGGUUGUAAACUCCUUUUCUCAGGGAAGAAGAACUGACGGUACCUGAGGAAUCAGCCUCGGCUAACUCCGUGCCAGCAGCCGCGGUAAUACGGAGGAGGCAAGCGUUAUCCGGAAUUAUUGGGCGUAAAGCGUUCGUAGGCGGCGUUUCAAGUCUGCUGUCAAAGGCCGAGGCUCAACUUCGGAAAGGCAGUGGAAACUGAAAAGCUAGAGGUCGGUAGGGGCAGAGGGAAUUCCCAGUGUAGCGGUGAAAUGCGUAGAUAUUGGGAAGAACACCGGUGGCGAAAGCGCUCUGCUGGGCCGAACCUGACGCUGAGGGACGAAAGCUAGGGGAGCGAAUGGGAUUAGAUACCCCAGUAGUCA